AUAAGGAGGAAGUAUCAAAUGCUUAAUCAAAUGGAUACGAUGUUAGAUGGUACUGCUUGAGCUCCAGCACCGGGACCAACCAACCAGACCAAAGCUGAGUCACUCACGGGCUGAGACCAGGGCUGGCCUGAAAAUAUGCCAAAUCUGGUAUCUCUCCCAAUACUGAACUUUAACCCUGAGCAAAGUCUUGCUGAGUUGUCAGUGACAAACUAGAUUCAGAGGGACUGGCCUAGCCAAUGCCACCCAAAUAGAGAGUGUGGCGAGCGAACUCCAGUCUAGGUCCAAGUGGCCCCUAGCUCGAUCUGCCAGGUGUGGGUGGAGAGCUGAUCUCCUAUGCAGAGCCAUAUUAUUUCUUCUUUUCUGUCUUCUUAGAAGGCCUUGAUACCCUUUUAACAUCAAGAUUCUCCUGGCUGGAGUGGAAAAUUCUGUGCGUUUUCGAGUAGUAGCUUUUGCCCGAGUUUGGGUGACUUUCAAGAGCCAAAGUUAACUGAGGCUAAGAAUAGAUUAGCUCCUUGCUCUCUGUGGGGCUAUGA
rnacentral:lncRNA from 1 species